CCUACGGGAGGCAGCAGUGAGGAAUAUUGGUCAAUGGACGCAAGUCUGAACCAGCCAUGCCGCGUGAAGGAAGACGGCUCUAUGAGUUGUAAACUGCUUUUGUACGAGGGUAAACGCAGAUACGUGUAUCUGUCUGAAAGUAUCGUACGAAUAAGGAUCGGCUAACUCCGUGCCAGCAGCCGCGGUAAUACGGAGGAUUCAAGCGUUAUCCGGAUUUAUUGGGUUUAAAGGGUGCGUAGGCGGUCGGAUAAGUUAGAGGUGAAAUUCCGAGGCUCAACUUCUGAAUUGCCUCUGAUACUGUUCGGCUAGAGAGUAGUUGCGGUAGGCGGAAUGUAUGGUGUAGCGGUGAAAUGCUUAGAGAUCAUACAGAACACCGAUUGCGAAGGCAGCUUACUAGGCUACUUCUGACGUUGAGGCACGAAAGCGUGGGGAGCAAACAGGAUUAGAUACCCGGGUAGUC
rnacentral:rRNA from 1 species